rnacentral:rRNA from 1 species
CCUACGGGUGACUGCAGUGGGGAAUAUUGGGCAAUGGGCGCAAGCCUGACCCAGCAACGCCGCGUGAAGGAAGAAGGCUUUCGGGUUGUAAACUUCUUUUGUCAGGGACGAAGCAAGUGACGGUACCUGACGAGUAAGCUACGGCUAACUACGUGCAAGCAGCCGCGGUAAUACGUAGGUGGCAAGCGUUAUCCGGAUUUAUUGGGUGUAAAGGGCGUGUAGGCGGGAAUGCAAGUCAGCUGUGAAAACUAUGGGCUCAACCCAGAGACUGCCUUUGAAACUGUCAUUCUCGAGUGCGGGAGAGGCAAGCGGAAUUCCGUGUGUAGCGGUGAAAUGCGUAGAUAUACGGAGGAACACCAGUGGCGAAGGCGGAUUGCUGGACAGUAACUGACGCUGAGGCGCGAAAGCGUGGGGAGCAAACAGGAUUAGAUACCCCAGUAGUC